UAUGAGCACUCCCAUAUCACUCCGAUUA
rnacentral:sRNA from 1 species